rnacentral:lncRNA from 1 species
GAGGCGUUAUAACGAGUAGUAACACAAACAUACAUAUAUUAAAAAUUAAAUUAAUAUAAACAUUCUUUUUAACUUUAUUAAAAUAAAAAUAAUAAUAUGGUAGAAAAUACGAAUACUGUAAAGUUGAUUUUCGCCUGUAUUUUUAUUAGUUAAAAAAUAAAUAAAGUAACUUUUUAAAUUAUUUUUAUUUUUCAUCUUAAAAAAAAGGAGUACUAAAGUUAAUAAAAUCAAAUUCUGUCUAGAGAAUAAGCUAAGCAAAAAACGAAACAAAGAAAUGGCCAGAGACAGCGUCCUCACUCGCGUGGCGACCGGAGCCGCCGUGGGCGGUGUUAUUGGCGGCGCAGUCGGUGAGUUAAUAGCUCUUAUUCUCUGUUUGGUUGCCUCCUUUUCACUAAGCCAAGCACGGCACAUCUUUCUCUUUCUUCUUCGGUUAAUCUUGUGCAUGUUGAAAUUGGGUGUGUUGAAUGCAGGUGCCGUUUAUGGGACUUACGAUGCAAUUAGGUAUAAGGUAUGUGAUUCAAUUCCUCUAUUUUUCAAAUGAGUGAAUUGGAAAAUGCAAUUUACCUCUUUUAUAAUGAAGUGUGUUUCUGAUUAACUUAUCUUAACCCUAAUUGAGUGUAAAAUUAAUGUAAUAUGAAGCUGCUAAUUUAGGGACUUUGCAACUUAGUUAACUAUGUGUCAUUGUUAUGAGAACAGUUCUGAUGAGGAAUUUAACUGAUUAAAAUCAAAGGAAAAAACAAAGGAGAAAGAUGAAGAAAGAACACUAAGGCAAAAUAGAAGACUUAUUGACUGAAUCCCUCUUUCUC